CCUAACACAUGCAAGUCGAACGGUAACAGGAAGCAGCUUGCUGCUUCGCUGACGAGUGGCGGACGGGUGAGUAAUGUCUGGGAAGCUGCCUGAUGGAGGGGGAUAACUACUGGAAACGGUAGCUAAUACCGCAUAAUGUCGCAAAACCAAAGAGGGGGACCUUCGGGCCUCUUGCCAUCGGAUGUGCCCAGAUGGGAUUAGCUUGUUGGUGGGGUAACGGCUCACCAAGGCGACGAUCCCUAGCUGGUCUGAGAGGAUGACCAGCCACACUGGAACUGAGACACGGUCCAGACUCCUACGGGAGGCGGCAGUGGGGAAUAUUGCACAAUGGGCGCAAGCCUGAUGCAGCCAUGCCGCGUGUAUGAAGAAGGCCUUCGGGUUGUAAAGUACUUUCAGCGGGGAGGAAGGGAGUAAAGUUAAUACCUUUGCUCAUUGACGUUACCCGCAGAAGAAGCACCGGCUAACUCCGUGCCAGCAGC
rnacentral:rRNA from 1 species